rnacentral:lncRNA from 1 species
GGACUAAGCCAACCGAAUCAACAAACACCCAUUCUGCUUGUUUUCAAAUCCUUAAUCCCCUCUGCUAAAUGUCGAUUCAUCUUCACCAUGUGAGACUCUUCAAGCCUGAAGAAAUCUUAGCCCGAAAUCCCUCAUCAACUUCGAUUUCGACGAAGAAGGGAGAAGAAAUCCAUGGCUUGCUCGCACGGUAAGGUCCUUUCCUCUUUCACUUUAUUUGCUUUUGAAAUAAAAUAAAAUAAAAAAAUAAUACAAAACAAGAGAAUAAUCACAAAAAGAAAGCCCGGAGAUUUAGAUCGGAAAAUCACCUUCUGAUAUUGGUUGCCUUUUUUUAUUGCCUAUUGUGUGUUUCCAAAAAAAUACAAUGAUCGAAUGCCUUUCUUUUAUAGCCGAAAAUGAUAGAAAUAAAUAAGUAGAAAAUACAAAAUUCUUUCUUUGCUUUCGCAUUGGGUAUAUGCUGUUGUUGCUCGUUUGUUUUUUUUGCAGGUACGGGUGCAAGGCGCGUGUACGGGGGUCGCGCUGGCGCUUGGCGUGAGGCGUACGGAGGCGUGCGUGGCGGUCGUACAGGGCUGAAGGCGCAUGGAGGCUGCUGUUGUGGCGCAGGAGAAAAGGGGGUGACCUAGGGUUUCUAAAACUGUUGGGGAAAUGGGCUUAUUGGGCUUGCUCUGAUUUGAGUUUUAAUAUUAGUUUGGGCUUGUAAUAGGUAUUAGUUUGUAAAAGGAUAUUAUUCCCUUAAGCUUUAAUAAAUAACAAUUUCAUCCCUACUCAAUUAGCCUCUCAAUUGAGCUGAUUUUUCUCAAUUAACACUUUAUUCUAUCACUUUGAACUACUUUACAACUUUUGGAAAUCAUAAUUUCAGCACUAGACUUUAAUUCCAAACAUUUUCACAAUUAGGUUCUAACUAAUUCAUUCACUUCACUAACUUAAAUCAUACUCUAUUUCUAUUCAAGUUCCAUCCCAACUCAAAUUUAACUAUUAAAUUUUCAGCUUAUUUAACUAGUUUCGAAAUUUCCUCAAAUUAGCCCUUCAACAUAAAAUUUAUGAAUUACUUUACAAUUCAAUCCUUAUUUCAUUUCUAACUUGAAUUUCUAUCAAUUUAACCCUUAUUUCAUCAUUUUACUCAACAUGAACAUUAUCUAGAAAUCUAAUAACUUUCAAAAUAUCAACUUAGUUUCAUCAAAAUCUUAUUCCAAAGCUUCUAAAACAUCAAAAUUAAGUAAAAAGGGCUAAAUUGACUUACCUAUUAAACUUCCAAGCUUCACACCUUGAAUUUUCCCUUUUCUUCUUUCUUUUCUCUUUUUCUUUCUUUCCUUCCCCUGUCUCUGUUUCGUUUGCUUUGUUUCUUCAUUCUAUCCUUUUUUUUUCUUUAUUUCCCCCUUUUAUAUAUAUAUAUACACAUAUGUAUUUAUACUUAAAUAAUAAGUGUUAUUUAUUUAUUCAUGUGUAUAUUAUCAGCACAUUUGUAUUUAUUUAUAACCAUACAUUUGGCAUUGUUUAAUAUAUAUUUAUCAUAUAAAAUCUUAUAAUAUAAUUAUUUAAUUAAUAAAUAUCUUUUAUAAAAUAAUAAAUAUUUAUUUAAUAUCUAAUACAUGUAUUACAAAUGUAUGUAUUUUUAUCCAUACACUUGUAUAUUUUAUUUACUAUACAUUUGUCUUUAUACUAAUUUAUUUAUCAUAUAAAUAUCUUAUACUAUAACUAUAAUAAAUUAAUUUAAUAUCAUUUAUUACUAAUAAAUAUAUAUUAUAAUUAAAAUCUAAGUAAAAAUCUUAGAUUUUUACUUUAUAUGCCGCCGCACUUAUGCUAUAUAGCAUAAUUGCCAUUUUGGUACUUUUUAUUUUCUUUUAAUCUAUAAUUAAACUUUUACACUUUAUUCAAUUUAAUCCUUUUAUCCAAUUAUCCUUAAUUAAGCUAAAUUCACUUAAUUAAACUCUAAUUAACCACUCAAUUAACUUUUUAAAUAUUUUUGAUAAAUAUUUACGGAUUCAUUUUUUUUAGUAUCGGAGACUUGAAAAUACACUUUUUCGAUAAUCGUAAAAUUCGGGUUAUUACAAAUUAAACUCUAAUUAACCACUCAUUUUACUUCAUAAAUAUUUUUAAUAAAUAUUUACGAAUCCAUUUUUCAUAAACAGAGAUCCGAAAUUACACUUUUUCAGUAUCUGUAAAAUUCAGGUCAUUACAAUUCUCCCCCUUUAAUAAAUUUCAUCCUCGAAAUUUACCUAAAAGAGGUGGGGAUUCAGUAAUCUCACUGUUUCUUUCGGUUCCCAUGUUACUUCCUUAAUACUAUGACUUCACUUCUCAAGCUAGUAUCUCGAUCGGUUCUUUUUCUUCAUACAAUGAAUCAAUUUAAAUUUCAAUAUCCCUUGUCAAGCUAACAUAUAAGAGAUUUGACCUAUAUUUUCUGAGCAUCACAAAUUUUCUAUAGCUUCGGAAGUGAAACCAAUCAAUUCAUUACUAUCUGAAUUCUUUCUAUAAUUUCAGAUACCCAAACAGAACGAGAACUCAACUUCUCUUUUCCAAUUAGAUCUCAAAAUUUUCUUCCAACAUCCAACUUAAGAAAUACCUCAUCACUGGCAGAAUACUCGAUAUGCAUAAUUUCCAUAUGUUAAAACUGCUUUCAGCCUAUUUCAAUCUAAUUCGAUCACUUUCACUUUUCUUCGGUUUCACAAAUCAAACACUUUGCAUAUUCAUUUUCUCACAAUAUUAAAUCAAAUACUAUGAAAUUCUAUAUUUACAAUCAUACAGAAUUUCAUACAAUACUGUAAACUAUUAUUACAUAUCCGAACUUCUUGUACUUGUUCUAGAAUCAGAAUAUAAACCAUGUAUUUCAAUCAGAAAUAAUAAAAAUUACUAUACCAUGAAUCUGACGAUCUCAGAAACCCAUAUUUUAGAUAAUUAUUAAGUAAGAAUUUUAUUCAUAUCGAAAUAAAUUAUACAGACUUUGCCUUAUCUUUGACGAUUGUUCAAAUAUCAUUUUUCUUUUUCACAGACAGAGAUAAUUCCAGUCCAAAACCAUAGAAAUUCUAUCCCAUUUCCACUAUGGUAUCAUCACUGGCUGUAACAGUUCUGAAGACAUCUGUACCUGAUAUAAACAUUUAUAUGCAAAUUCAAAGUAUUGCUUUUCUUUUCCCAGUCUUCAACACAUCUGUCUCAAAUCACUGUACAUCUUAUUCUUCCAGAAUGCAUAGACAUAGUACUACUAUAAUUUCAUGCAAAUUCUCCUGUAUAGGUUCUGAAUCCCUUUGUUCAACUUUUAUUUCUAAAUUGCAAACAACCAUCAUAUUCAAUCCAAAAUGUUUAGUCAGAAAUCAUCUGUACACUAUACCCAUAUAAAAUCCCAAAAAUUUACUAUAAUAUACCCAGUUAUAACGGCUAUAUUCAAAUAUUUUUGCAAUUUAUUCACCAAUCUAUUGACUAGUAUAGUUAUCAAUAAUUUCACACCAUUUACUUCACUAAAAAAAACUAAUUCGGAAGAAAUUUUCAGUUAACUAUUCUGUAAAUACCAUAUUUAAAUAAAUCGAUUUUCCCAUAAAUAACUUCUUUCUUUAACAGUGAUACUGUAUAUCUCAACUAGUUUAAGAAAAAUCUGAUAUCUCUAUUCAGAACCCAUCUUUACUUAUUAACUCAUUCUCAGUUCCGACUGCAUUAUCAAUUGUUCAACCAUUAAGCUUUUCACUUUCCGCUUCUGAAUUUAAUCAAUAUAAAUCUCAUGAAUUUCAUUGCAUAUAAUUGUAUUAAUAAAGGGGUAUAGAUCGUAAAGCCUCAUAAUUUAAUUUUCAUGUAUUUACUCAUAUAACAUUUAUUAUUCUCAAGUAUUAUAAAACAUUUAUCCGUACUUUUACGAGUUCUGCUUCAUCAUAACUAACAUUUUUACUCAAGGAUAAUCCUUUAUCUUGUAACGAAAAUUGUUUACUUUUUAUUUAACAGAGGCCCAGUAGACUAAAUAGAACACUUCGGAUAUACAAGACUUAUACAGAGGUGCAUUAUUAUGCACUAAUGAACAGAGAGCACUGAAGUGCUAUACAGAGAGCACAAAUGUGCUAAUCAGAGAGCAUUGACGUGCUAAAUAUCAGAGAGCACAAAUGUGCUAAUCAGAGAGCACUGACGUGCUAAAUAUCAGAGAGCACAAAUGUGCUAAUAAUCAGAAAGCAUGCUGAGGUCCCUUAACAUCCUAGUAGUUCUAAUAUUGUCUACUUGGGCAAAUUAUUUCAUACAUGCAUAUCACUUUUACACCUUUCGCAUAAUACUUUUACAUGUUUUACAAUUUAAUCCUUGUACCAAUAAUUCAUAUACUUAUAUCUUCUGUAUCUUCAAUACAUGUAAUAUAUUUCAAAAUUCACUAUUCAUUCAUAAUUCUCUAAUAAUCCUUAUCAUGUACUUCAUAUAUUACAUUUAUAUAUUUUAUAAUUUAGUCAUCAGCACAAUAUUUCAUGUAGUAAUAUAAUUUGCUUUUAAUAAUACAUAUAACAUAAUAUUCAUCAUCGACAUGUAUUAUAAAACAUUUAUUCAUACUUUUUUUUACCAAUUCAUCAUAAUCAACUUUCUACUCGUAUACUCGAGUAUCGCUUUUAGCAUUAUCAGAAUUAGCUUGGUUGAAAAACAUCUCUUUCUAUAAGUAAAACAAAUUUCAUUAGAGUCGAGAGAUAUCACACUAUCACAUAUUUUAAUGACAUGUGUUUUUAAACUUCAUAUAUACUACGUUUGGUCCGAGAACCGACUAAACCAUAGCUCUGAUACCAUUAAAUGUAAUACCCCAUACCCGUACUUGAGACCGGGAUAGGGUACGAGGCAUUACCGAGAUUUUUAGAAUAAUUUCAAUUAAUUUAUAUUAUUUAGUAUUCAUUUUCAUGUUUCAUGUAACAUCUUUUUCAUAUAUUCAAUUCAAAAUGUCAUAUAAAAUACGAUACAAUACUUAAAUUGUCAUAUUUACAUGCUCAUUGAGGAUAUACGAACUUACCUGACUAAAUUGCAGAAAUACCAAGUUUUAGGGGCAUAUUAGUAAUUUACCAUUUUCCCAAAUUUCACCCAAUCUUAAAUUGAUAAUUUCAUUCAAUUUAUUAAUUUAGAUAAUAAAACAAUUCAUUCCCUUUAAUUUAGUCAUUUUUUAUAUUUUUACAAAAUUACCCUCUAAAGUUUUACUUUUAUUCAAUUUAGUCCAUGAGCUUAAAAUAUGCAAAUUAGCCAUGCUAACUGAAUAUACAUAUAUAUAUUUUUCCUCUUUCUCCUCUCCAUUCCACAUCCUUAAUGUAUAUAACACACUUGUAAGUAACAUUAUCUAUAAUUUUUUUUUUAUUUACUUUUAUGGAUAUUCAAGCUGUCCAUCUGUGUCAUAGUCACUAAAUUAUUUAUAUCUGGAGUUAUAAAACUCCAAAUUAAGAUCCUCUAAUUUUCCCUGAAACUAGACUCAUAUAUCUUCUUACCAUAAAAUUUUCAGAAUUUUUGGUUUAGCCAAUAAGUACAGUUUGUUCUUUAAAGUUACCCAUUUUCUGCUGUUUGACAGUUUCAACCCUUCUUCACUAAAAAUUAAUUAUCUCCUCAUACAGAAUUCGAAUGAUAUUCAUGUUUAUUUCUCUUGAAAAUAGACUCAUUUGUAAUUCUAAACAUAUAAAUUUAAGCCUCUAAUUAUUUUUAUCCAAAUUUUUAUGAUUUUUCAAAGUCAGAACAGGGGAACCCGAAUUCAUUCUGAUAUUGUCUCACAAAAUUCAUUAUAUCUCAUGAUUUACAAAUCCAUUGCUUACACUGUUUCUUCUAUAAGAAGCUAGACUCAAUAAUAUUUAAUUUCAUACCUUUCUUCAUCUUCUAAUUCGAUUUCUACAAUUUAUGGUGAUUUUUCAAAGUUAGUCUGCUGCUGCUGUCCAAUAUUGUUUUAGUGCAAGCUGUUUAUUACCAUUUUUCCCUUAAGCUUUAAUAAAUAACAAUUUCGUCCCUACUCAAUUAGCCUCUCAAUUGAGCUGAUUUUUCUCAAUUAACACUUUAUUCUAUCACUUUAAACUACUUUACAACUUUUGGAAAUCAUAAUUUCAGCACUAGACUUUAAUUCCAAACAUUUUCACAAUUAGGUCCUAACUAAUUCAUUCACUUCACUAACUUAAAUCAUACUCUAUUUCUAUUCAAGUUCCAUCCCAACUCAAAUUUAACUAUUAAAUUUUCAGCUUAUUUAACUAGUUUCGAAAUUUCCUCAAAUUAGCCCUUCAACAUAAAACUUAUGAAUUACUUUACAAUUCAAUCCUUAUUUCAUUUCUAACUUGAAUUUCUAUCAAUUUAACCCUUAUUUCAUCAUUUUACUCAACAUGAACAUUAUCUAGAAAUCUAAUAACUUUCAAAAUAUCAACUUAGUUUCAUCAAAAUCUUAUUCCAAAGCUUCUAAAACAUCAAAAUUAAGUAAAAAGGGCUAAAUUGACUUACCUAUUAAACUUCCAAGCUUCACACCUUGAAUUUUCCCUUUUCUUCUUUCUUUUCUCUUUUUCUUUCUUUCCUUCCCCUGCUCUCUGUUUCGUUUGCUUUGUUUCUUC